CUUCUUCAAACAUUAAAAUAGUUAAUGAUAAACUAAACAUGACCUUGCCAAAGAUACAAAAUAUGACUUUGCCAUAUAACGUAAAAACGAGCUUACCAAAACCCUCCGUAUUACUCUCGAUUAAAUUGAAGAAAAUAUUCCACCUCUAAGGGUGGCAAACUAGGGGAUGAAUCCGGUUUCGCGGAUUUCCCUGUAACCGAUGUCAAUACAACUUGGCAAGUAGAUGUAACUCCACGACAUUACGAACUUUGGAGAUCGGUUUUUUGUUCAUAAAAAGUCAUAAUUAUUUCUUUCUCUUCAGUUUUAUUUAUGUUCAGAUAAACUGCUGAAAUUAAGAUAAAAAUAAAAACAACUACUUGGAUACGAGACAUC